UUUCAUCUCAGUCCAUGUAUCUACCUCUCGCCGUUCCUCUCUCAACAUUUCUCUUUGGUAUUUAUGCCACCAAACAAGGGCAUAGUCGGAGAAUUCAGCUGCUGCUAGCUUGACUUUCUGCGCAUCAGUGUAGUCAUUGCAGGCAAAUACGUGCUCAGUCUUCAUUUCCUAGUCCAGGUAGGCAUCUGGAUCACUUCUACCUUUGAAGGGAGGAACAUUGAGCUUUACUCCCUCAACCCGGUUCUGCCUCGGUCCGUCAUUACCGCCAUUGUUACCUCUAUUCCCAUCUAUAUUUCGUUUAGCAUUCUGAUUGGCUUGGUUCUCCAAAGCUUCUAGUCGUCCAU
rnacentral:lncRNA from 1 species